rnacentral:rRNA from 1 species
AGCGCAGGCGGUUUCUUAAGUCUGAUGUGAAAGCCUUCGGCUCAACCGAAGAAGUGCAUCGGAAACUGGGAAACUUGAGUGCAGAAGAGGACAGUGGAACUCCAUGUGUAGCGGUGAAAUGCGUAGAUAUAUGGAAGAACACCAGUGGCGAAGGCGGCUGUCUGGUCUGUAACUGACACUGAGGCUCGAAAGCAUGGGUAGCAAACA